rnacentral:rRNA from 1 species
UACCUGCAGCUCAAGUGGUGGCCGCUAUUAUUGGGCCUAAAACGUUCGUAGCCGGUUUAGUAAAUGCCUGGGUAAAUCGUGUAGCUCAACUAUACGAAUUCCGGGUAGACUGCUAAACUUGAGACUGGGAGAGGCUAGAGGUACUCCUGGGGUAGAGGUGAGAUUCUGUAAUCCUAGGGGGACCACCAGUGGCGAAGGCGUCUAGCUAGAACGGGUCUGACGGUGAGGGACGAAGCCCUGGGGCGCAAACGGGAUUAGAUACCCCGGUAGUCCAGGGUGUAAACGCUGCUUGCUUGAUGUUAGUCUGGCUCCGAGCCAGAUUAGUGUCGGAGAGAAGUUGUUAAGCAAGCUGCCUGGGAAGUACGGCCGCAAGACUGAAACUUAAAGGAAUUGGCGGGGAGCACAGCAACGGGUGGAGCGUGCGGUUU